rnacentral:rRNA from 1 species
GGGCCCGCACAAGCGGUGGAGUAUGUGGUUUAAUUCGAUGCAACGCGAAGAACCUUACCAGGGUUUAAAUGUAGAAUGACCGGGGUGGAAACACCCCUUUCUUCGGACAGACUACAAGGUGCUGCAUGGUUGUCGUCAGCUCGUGCUGUGAAGUGUCGGGUUAAGUCCCAUAACGAGCGCAACCCCCCAUUUCUAGUUGCCAGCGGUUCGGCCGGGGACUCUAGAGAAACUGCCAGUGAUAAGCUGGAGGAAGGUGGGGAUGACGUCAAGUCCUCAUGGCCCUUAUGUGUUGGGCUACACACGUGCUACAAUGGUACUUACAAUGGGACGCAAAGAGGCGACUCUAAGCCAAUCCCUAAAAUGUACCUCAGUUCGGAUUGUACUCUGUAACUCGAGUGCAUGAAGCUGGAAUUGCUAGUAAUCGCGGAUC